CUGUUCUUCUUUUAUAAUAUAUAAUAAAUACACUUUUGGUUAUUAGAGGCAAUUCCAUGUAUUAUAUUUUCAAUUUGUUUCCUUUUUGUUAAAAAAAAUUUUUAUUGGUGAAAUACAGCCAAAUAAACCAAAACAAAAACGUUUCGAGUCCAAUUAAAAUGAACCAUCUGCAGUAUUUGUGUACACUGGUAAAAAAACAAACAUUUAAAGUGUUUUUCUUAAAUAUUUAGGUUGUAAAUGCAACAACUCAACAUGAUUUGGAGAAAGCAGUCAGCUGCUGCGACUCAUGGCGAUAUCAAGUUGAAGGUCUUCCACUCACAGUCACCAUGGCCAAUAAAGAUCUGUUUGUGAAAAAUGCAGCUCUAUACCUUGCAGUCCUGCAACGGCAAAGCUGUUUCGAUCAACUAACUGAUGGCUUGUCCUACUAUGGAAGAGAACCCCAGUUUGCGUGUUCUGCUUGACCUAUCGGGGGAGGACAAAGAUCUGACAGCCAGUUUAAUUGCUGGGGUUCUCAGGCCAAGCUAUUCUGUCCUUGGGAGCAACAGAAGAGUUAGAGAGGAGCUGAUGGUGGUCAAAUUU
ensembl:lncRNA